CUGGCGGCGUGCUUAACACAUGCAAGUCGAACGAUGAUCCCAGCUUGCUGGGGGAUUAGUGGCGAACGGGUGAGUAACACGUGAGUAACCUGCCCUUGACUCUGGGAUAAGCCUGGGAAACUGGGUCUAAUACCGGAUACGACCAUCUGGCGCAUGUCAUGGUGGUGGAAAGCUUUUGUGGUUUUGGAUGGACUCGCGGCCUAUCAGCUUGUUGGUGGGGUAAUGGCCUACCAAGGCGACGACGGGUAGCCGGCCUGAGAGGGUGACCGGCCACACUGGGACUGAGACACGGCCCAGACUCCUACGGGAGGCAGCAGUGGGGAAUAUUGCACAAUGGGCGCAAGCCUGAUGCAGCGACGCCGCGUGAGGGAUGACGGCCUUCGGGUUGUAAACCUCUUUCAGUAGGGAAGAAGCGAAAGUGACGGUACCUGCAGAAGAAGCGCCGGCUAACUACGUGCCAGCAGCCGCGGUAAUACGUAGGGCGCAAGCGUUAUCCGGAAUUAUUGGGCGUAAAGAGCUCGUAGGCGGUUUGUCGCGUCUGCUGUGAAAGACCGGGGCUCAACUCCGGUUCUGCAGUGGGUACGGGCAGACUAGAGUGCAGUAGGGGAGACUGGAAUUCCUGGUGUAGCGGUGAAAUGCGCAGAUAUCAGGAGGAACACCGAUGGCGAAGGCAGGUCUCUGGGCUGUAACUGACGCUGAGGA
rnacentral:rRNA from 1 species